UCGAGCUCCUCCUCCUCAGUCGCCACCAUUGUUACCCUCAUCGCCUCCUUCAUCUACCUCCUCGGCUUCGUCUAGUCCUUCAUCUCACGCACCUCCCACUACGACGACGAGGUGCUCAUCAACUGCCGCUGCUGCCCUCCCCCAGCCAAACCCAAAUUCGUCCACACUGACCCCAAGCCGUUCUAAAUGGCGGCGUUCCUUCUUAGUCUCUCAAAUCGAAGCUCGGUGACUGCAAUAUCAUAGCGGCGAUUAGGUGCGAGUGGCUUCAGAGAACGACUGGGAGGUCACUGUAGGGUUUACCUCUCGAAGGUUUCGAUUACGACUCCAUUCUUGGACAGUGCUGCGAGUCGCCGGUCGAAGACGAAGUAAUCUUUAUAGAGUUUAAGAAGCUUGAGUUUGUGGGUGGGUUGAAGAACUGUGAAUUUUUGGAGAAAGUCAAGUCCAGCUUGGUUCUCAAUUUGCACUCAAUUUAUACAUUCUUUUCCAUGAGUUGGUGGGUCGACCGGCUUCCUUGUUAUACGGAGAGGAAAAAGUGAGGGUAUUUUAUGCUGUUAGGAUCUUUCUUGGUCUCAUCUCUGUUAUUACUGAAACCAUUCUGGUUUAUGCUCUGUCAAGAAAGUAUGGAAAAUGUCUUGCCUCGUAUGCUUGCCAUGCUAUGCUUAACCAGCGGUUGUUUCUUUGCCAGUACAAGUUUCUUGCCAAUUUCGUUCUCUAUGUAUGCUGUGACUGCAGUAGCCUGAAAAGUCCCACUGUUUCAUUUGUCAAACUUCUGAGAAUCUCUUGAUGUGUAUUCUCCGUGUGGCUUUGUUGGUUGUG